AUGUUCACUAGAACCACCCUGAGAAUGCCCGAUCUCAUCUGGUCUAGGGAGCUAAGAAGGAUUAGGCCCAAUUAGUACUUGGAUGGGGCACCACCCAGGAAUAGUGGGUGCUGUAGGCU
rnacentral:rRNA from 1 species